rnacentral:misc_RNA from 1 species
AAGAGAAAACUGCCCUUUGGGUAGAUUUCCCACCCUUUGUUUACUUUACCUUUGUUGCUUUGGCAGGCCCGUCUUCUGACCACCGGCUUUUAGCUGGUCCGUGCCUGCCAGAGGACCCCCAACUCUUGAUUUCAAGUUGUCCGAGUCUUAUAUAAUAGUAA